AGGACGAACGCUGGCGGCGUGCUUAACACAUGCAAGUGGAGCGACGAACCAGGGCUUGCCCUGGGGCAGAGCCGCGAACGGGUGAGUAACACGUGGGUUACCUGCCUCGAUGACCGGGACAACCCGAGGAAACUCGGGCUAAUACCGGAUGUGCCCGCAAGGGGAAAGGAAGCUUCGGCCUCCGCAUCGAGAUGGGCCCGCGGCCCAUUAGCUUGUUGGUGAGGUAACGGCUCACCAAGGCUUCGAUGGGUAGCUGGUCUGAGAGGACGAUCAGCCACACUGGGACUGAGACACGGCCCAGACUCCUACGGGAGGCAGCAGUGGGGAAUCUUGCGCAAUGCGCGAAAGCGUGACGCAGCAACGCCGCGUGGGGGAAGAAGGCUUUCGGGUUGUAAACCCUUUCAGUUGGGACGAAGCUUCUCCGGUGAAUAGCCGGAUGGAGUGACGGUACCUUCACAAGAAGCACCGGCUAACUACGCGCCAGCAGCCGCGGU
rnacentral:rRNA from 1 species